rnacentral:rRNA from 1 species
CUACGGGUUGCUGCAGUAGGGAAUAUUGCACAAUGGAGGAAACUCUGAUGCAGCAAUGCCGCGUGAGUGAUGAAGGCCUUAGGGUUGUAAAGCUCUUUCAGUAAAGAAGAUAAUGACGGUAUUUACAGAAGAAGCCCCGGCUAAUUUCGUGCCAGCAGCCGCGGUAAUACGAAAGGGGCUAGCGUUGUUCGGAAUCACUGGCGUAAAGCGUACGUAGGCGGAUUGGAAAGUUAGAUGUGAAAGCCCAGGGCUCAACCUUGGAACUGCAUUUAAAACUCCCAAUCUAGAGUCCGGUAGGGGAGCAUGGAAUUCCUAGUGUAGAGGUGAAAUUCGUAGAUAUUAGGAGGAACACCAGUGGCGAAGGCGAUGCUCUGGGCCGGUACUGACGCUAAGGUACGAAAGCGUGGGGAGCAAACAGGAUUAGAUACCCGCGUAGUC